AGAACAUGAAUUCUAAAUUAGUUGGACUAAGACUUAUGGACAGGUACAACAGAUAAAUCCUCUUUUGCAACCCAGAAUCCACUGUUCAGUAUGAGUUUUGAUACAUAUAAGAAGGAAUAGC
ensembl:snoRNA